GGUAACGGGGUAUCAGGGUUCGAUUCCGGAGAGGGAGCCUGAGAAAUGGCUACCACAUCCAAGGAUGGCAGCAGGCGCGCAAAUUACCCACUCCCAGCUUGGGGAGGUAGUGACGAAAAAUAACAAUGCGGGACUCUAAGAGGCCCCGUAAUUGGAAUGAGUACACCUUAAAUCGUUUAACGAGUAUCAAUUGGAGGGCAAGUCUGGUGCCAGCAGCCGCGGUAAUUCCAGCUCCAAUAGCGUAUAUUAAAGUUGCUGCAGUUAAAAAGCUCGUAGUUGGAUCUGGGGCUUGAGGUCGCUGUCUAUCGUUUCGGCGAUGACGGUGAUGCUCAGCUCUGCUUGCCGGUGACUGUUGCGGUGUUCUUAAUUGAGCGCUGUAGCAGCACGGCACGUUUACUUUGAAAAAAUUAGAGUGCUCAAAGCGUGCUUGUCGCUUGAAUAAUGUUGCAUGGAAUAAUGGAAUAGGACCUCGGUUCUAUUUUGUUGGUUUUCGGAGCUUGAGGUAAUGAUUAAGAGGGACGAACGGGGGCAUUCGUAUUGCGGUGUUAGAGGUGAAAUUCUUGGAUCGCCGCAAGACGGACUACUGCGAAAGCAUUUGCCAAGAACGCUUUCGUUAAUUAAGAACGAAAGUCAGAGGUUCGAAGACGAUCAGACACCGUCCUAGUUCUGACCAUAAACGAUGCCGACCAGCGAUCCGUAGUGGUUGCUUUAUGGACCCUACGGGCAGCCUCCGGGAAACCAAAGUAUUUGGGUUCCGGGGGAAGUAUGGUUGCAAAGCUGAAACUUAAAGGAAUUGACGGAAGGGCACACCAGGAGUGGAGCCUGCGGCUUAAUUUGACCCAACACGGGAAAACUCACCCGGUCCGGACACCGUAAGGAUUGACAGACUGAUAGCUCUUUCUUGAUUCGGUGGAAGGUGGUGCAUGGCCGUUCUUAGUUGGUGGAGUGAUUUGUCUGGUUAAUUCCGAUAACGAACGAGACUCUAGCCUGCUAAGUAGUGUGUCUAUUGUGAUAUGGUAUACACUUCUUAGAGGGACAAGUGGCAUUUAGCCACGCGAAAUUGAGCAAUAACAGGUCUGUGAUGCCCUUAGAUGUCCGGGGCCGCACGCGCGCUACACUGGAGAAGUCAGCGUGUGUUAUCCAAGUCCGAAAGGAUUGGGUAAUCCGUUGAACCUUCUUCGUGCUUGGGACUGUGGCUUGGAACUAUUCCACAUGAACGAGGAAUUCCUAGUAAGUGCAAGUCAUUAGCUUGCGUUGAUUACGUCCCUGCCCUUUGUACACACCGCCCGUCGCUACUACCGAUUGAAUGGUUUAGCAAGGUCCUCGGAUCGUGGACGUAGGGGCACGCAAGUGUUUCUGCGUUUUGCGAGAAGACGACCAAACUUGAUCAUUUAGAGGAAGUAAAAGUCGUAACAAGGUU
rnacentral:rRNA from 1 species